GAUCCUGGCUCAGAACGAACGCUGGCGGCAGGCUUAACACAUGCAAGUUGAACGGGAUUUGUGUGGUGCUUGCACCAUAUAAUGAGAGUAGCGCACUGGUGAGUAACACGUGGGAACGUGCCUUUUAGUGGGGGAUAACAUCUGGAAACGGAUGCUAAUACCGCAUACGCCCUGAGGGGGGAAAGAUUUAUUGCUAAGAGGUCGGCCCGCGGUAGAUUAGGCAGUUGGUGGGGUAAAGGCCUACCAAACCUACGA
rnacentral:rRNA from 1 species